rnacentral:misc_RNA from 1 species
AUCCUCUUCAAGGCUGGGAGAAUGAGAGUGAUUUUAUCAUCACAAUUAUAGCAACUCACCAAGCUAGUGAUUUUGGGACAAUCAUGAAUUGUGAGCUCCUCAAGGUUGGAGAAAUUUGCAAGCAACCCUGGUGUAAAGACGUUGGUAAGCUCUGGACAUUUGCGCAAGAUCAAGUACUUCAAUAAAUUGAAGCUGGAGUUAUUCACAGGACCUUCCCAUAUGCUACUUAGAUUCUUCAUGUAAUAUAUG